rnacentral:tRNA from 1 species
GCGGGGGUGUCCUAGUUAGGUCAAUGGAGUAGCGCUGAGGUCGCUAUGGUGUAGGCCUCCGUGGGUUCAAAUCCCAUCCCCCGCACCA